UUCAGGAAUAGCUCAGUUGGUAGAGCACGAGACUCUUAAUCUCAGGGUGUUGGGUUCGAAUCCCACAUUUGGCAGAAG